rnacentral:rRNA from 1 species
UACAGAGGUCCCAAGCGUUUGUUCGGAUUCACUGGGCGUAAAGGGUGCGUAGGUGGUGAGGUAAGUCGGAUGUGAAAGCUCGGAGCUCAACUCCGAAAUGGCAUUGGAAACUACCUUGCUCGAGGGUUGGAGGGGGGACUGGAAUUCUCGGGUGUAGCAGUGAAAUGCGUAGAUAUCGAGAGGAACACCAGUGGCGAAGGCGAGUCCCUGGACGAACUCCUGACACUGAGGCACGAAAGCUAGGGGAGCAAACAGG